UACGUAGGGUGCAAGCGUUGUCCGGAAUUAUUGGGCGUAAAGAGCUCGUAGGCGGUCUGUUACGUCGGCUGUGAAAACCUGGGGCUCAACCCCGGGCCUGCAGUGGGUACGGGCAGACUAGAGUGCGGUAGGGGAGACUGGAAUUCCUGGUGUAGCGGUGAAAUGCGCAGAUAUCAGGAGGAACACCGGUGGCGAAGGCGGGUCUCUGGGCCGUAACUGACGCUGAGGAGCGAAAGCAUGGGGAGCGAACAGG
rnacentral:rRNA from 1 species